ACACAGAGAAACAAUAAAUGAAUGUGACGAUUUAAAAAUAAAUAUAAGAUUUGUUUCCUCCUAGGUCAACAAUCCAAGUUGGAAGAUUAAUUCAACCUUGUGUGGGACAGAAGACUAAAGUCUACUGAUUAUCAUGGACGGCUCAGAUACAGCUGAACCCUCAUAAGCUCAUGUCAUCACCUACAGGCCAAAGAACAGAAAACAGACCAGGAAAAUUUCAGGACUACAUUAAAUGUAGCUUCAUGCAAACAACACAAACCUAAGAGACAGAACAGAACUGCAGCUCUGAAAUAAAACAAGCACAAUCUUUCUACUGCUCCCUGCUGCGAGCCAUAGCAAGGGACAGUUAUCUGGGUUGGGCCUGUGGAUACUGGCUGCACAAGAUCUGCACCCACAGUAAGGAAACUCUAUGUGAAAAACAACAGAGAACUUGGUCUCAAGAGAAACCCUGAAAGGCAAACUUAAAAACUGAGGGCAGCACCUCCUUCUGUCUUUGGGAAGGUGAAAGACGGCUGGCCCUUCCUGGCACGGUCAAUAAAGUACAUCCAGCGAGCCAUACCACAGCUUUAGCUAGAAAUCAUGAUGGCCUGCUCCAGGAAGGACCACAGCAUGUCUUAAAACCACUUUCCCUACCAUUUGAGAUCAAACCCUGGAGGCUCGGUUCUGCCAGUGUACCCUACACUACAAUCUAAGGGGGUGGGGAGUACAAGAUGCCAGGUUCUCCUCUAGCCUCCUAGGAAGCACCAUCUGUCACAGGUCUCAUCCCUCAGUGGAGCUGGGAAACCUCAUCACACCAUAACUGGUAGUGGAUGCCCCCCUAGCCCUU
rnacentral:sRNA from 1 species